rnacentral:tRNA from 1 species
CUCCGGGGUGGUGUAAUGGCAGCACAUGUGACUCUGGAUCAUAGUGUCUAGGUUCGAAUCCUAGCCCCGCAG